rnacentral:misc_RNA from 1 species
GGAAGUAAAAGUCGUAACAGGGUCUCCGUAGGUGAACCUGCGGAGGGAUCAUUACCGAGCUCAUGCCCUUACGGGUAGAUCUCCCACCCUGUGUUAUUAUUACCUUUGUUGCUUUGGCGGGCCGCCAGGCUCCGGUCAGGCUAUCGGCUUCGGCUGGUAAGCGCCCGCCAGAGGACCCUAUAUCCUGAUUAUUAGUGUCGUCUGAGUACUAUAUAAUAGUUAAAACUUUCAACAACGGAUCUCUUGGUUCUG